rnacentral:tRNA from 1 species
CAGCAUAUAGUUUAUUAAGAAUUUAAAUUUUGGGUAUUUAAGGAAUAUUUUAUUUAUAUUUUGCUGA